rnacentral:rRNA from 1 species
GAUCAUGGCUCAGGAUGAACGCUGGCGGCGUGCCUAACACAUGCAAGUCGAACGAAACACCUUAUUUGAUUUUCUUCGGAACUGAAGAUUUGGUGAUUGAGUGGCGGACGGGUGAGUAACGCGUGGGUAACCUACCCUGUACAGGGGGAUAACAGCCAGAAAUGACUGCUAAUACCGCAUAAGACCGACAGCACCGCAUGGUGCAGGGGUAAAAACUCCGGUGGUACAGGAUGGACCCGCGU